ensembl:snoRNA SNORD33 Small nucleolar RNA Z195/SNORD33/SNORD32 family
GAGGCCAGUGAUGAGGACUUUUCCCUCUCGUGUUCAAGUUUCCUGUUCAUGAGAUGAUUCCACAGGCAUGCCACCUGUGGCCAC